AUGUGGGCAAUAUGGUGGGCGCGACGGAGGGCAAUCCAUGAGGGAGACUUGCAAAGCCCACACGUGACUCAUUCAUUUGUAAGAAGCUUUCUCGCGGAACUCGCAACUCUCCAGAGUGGGCCGGGGCCAUCAAAUGGCGAGACACGUGCAGCUGCGAGGUCAGCGACCAGGCAAGGAUGGAGGGCGCCCGAAGUUGGAACUGUUAAAAUUCAAGUCGAUGGGGGAGUUUCAAGAAAUGGGAGAAGAGGGGCAGCCGCUACCAUAGGCAGGAACCACGAUGGUCUUUUCCUUGGAUCUUCAGCAAUGGUUUUCGAUGAAAUAAGUGAUCCACCGAUGUUGGAAGCUUUGGCUUGCCGUGAGGCCCUUGCCCUAGCUCACGAUCUAUAUGUAGACCAUAUUGUUGUUGCGUGUGACUGCAAGACAGUUGUGGAGGAAAUUAAGAAGGGGUCAGAAGGAAAAUAUAGCACUAUUAUCAAGGAGAUCCAGGCCCAAGCCAGACAAUUUGUUCGAUGUGACUUCAUCUUUGAAGAUCGUCAAUGGAAUGUUGAUGCUCAUAACUUAGCUAAAUUUUGUACUUCUUUAGUUCAAGGGCGCCACGUGUGGCUGGGAGUACCCCAUGAUCCCUUCGUUACUCCUGUAAACCGAAACAAUAAUCAAUAA
rnacentral:rRNA from 1 species